rnacentral:rRNA from 1 species
CAUCGCUCUUUGUAACCUAAAAAUAAAGAGUCGAACCUGCCCAGUGAAAUUUUUUAACGGCCGCGGUACCCUGACCGUGCAAAGGUAGCAUAAUCACUUGCCUUAUAAUUGAAGGCUAGCAUGAAUGGUUUGACGAGAACGGCGCUGUCUCCCUUUUAUUUUCUAGAAUUUGACUUUUAGGUGAAGAGGCCUAAGUUCUAUUGAAGGACAAGAAGACCCUGUCGAGCUUUAAAAAUAAAUAGAAACAACUAUACACAGUAAAUUUUAAACUAUUAUUUUUUUUUGGUUGGGGCGACUAAGGAACAACAAAAGCUUCCUCUGUCUUCUUUCACCCAUAAGUUUUGAUCCAGUAAAACUGAUCAAAAAAAUUAGUUACCGCAGGGAUAACAGCAUAAUCUCCUUUGAGAGACCACAUCGAAAGGGGGGGUUGUGACCUCGAUGUUGGACUAGAAUAUCCGGAAGAUGCAGAAGUCUUCAAAGGUUGGUCUGUUCGACCAUUAAAAUUCUAC